rnacentral:lncRNA from 1 species
CGCUCGGCUCUGGCUGCGGCCGCGGCGCCUUUGUCUUUGAGGCGCCUGGGGGCUUCUUCAGCCUUGGCCUGGCCAGGGCCUGGAGGGGCUCCGCGCCCCCGGUUCUUUCCCCGGCGACACCCGGCUCUCUCCUCCCCAGACCUCUAUCCCCACCCACCGCUUUUCGGUUCCCAACCCUGCUCGGAGAAAACUCCCAACACCAUAGCAAAAGAAAUCCACUUCGGAAGCUGAGAUUUCAAACAAAAGCUGCCCGUACCCACAACUCUGAGUCUCCAGCCAGUAACCGAUUUCAACUUUCUCCCUAAGUGAAAGAAGGAAGGUUCAGUCCCUACAACAAAAGCUAACAAGCAGAAAAUUCUUCCAGGAACGGAUCACAAGUGAGCACAGCUCUGUCCUGUAUUCUAAGCUAGUAAUGGAGGUACAGUACGGGAGCUGAAGAGGUCUAGCAGACGUGCUCCAGUCAUCAACUGCAAACAUUUACCUUUGAAGCAACUGGAUGAGCCAGAUUGGUUAUGGUUUGCAUCCAUGUUCGACUUGAUAAAGGGGCAUAAUUUGUGAAAAGCCUUCAGGCAAAAAUCGUACUGAUUAUUCAAAACUAAAUAUUUUAACAUUUCAUUGAGUUAGCUAAUGAAUAAGAAAAACAUCGAAGGCUUCCUGCAGCUCAGAAAGAAUUCUAGUGGCGUGGAAAGCACAAGGAGCAAAGAACAAGAAACUGAAGGACUCCUGCUGAGCAGUUAUUCGCUUGUGAAUAUCUGAAAAUGUAUUCUUCUGUGCGUUAUUUAAAAAUGAAAAAUAAACAUCAUCUUUCCUUGUCUUUUGUUUUUAAAUGAACGUCUGAUAGCUUGCUAAAAAAUUUUUUUCUGAGUAAUUUAUGCGAGAAAGGGCCAAUUCGAAAACGUGUAACUAAUGGGAGAAGUCCACGUAUAAGCCGCAAACAAAUCGGUUUGAAGCCGAGCCCACAGCCCUGCGAGGCGCCACUGCUUCCAAGCUCAGGGAGGAUAACUUCAUCUACCGGCAGUU